CUUGGGUAACUAUAGAAUAGUAGCUGUUAUUAAAGGUAUGCCAGCACUGACUGCACUCAUAAGGGUUUACUCCAGCAUGGAUUUUCUGAUACUGAAAAAGUAUGUAUUUGCAGCAAAAGGCUUUCCCACAAUUGCUGUACUUGGAAUCCCUUUGUCCAGUGUGAAAAGCCUCCCCACUCUCAUUGCUCCUGUGUGGCUCUUCCCCAUUGAAAGAGGCCUGAUGCUGCACAAGUUGAGAGCUGACCAAGAGGUAUUUCCCACCCUCCUUGCAAGUGAAGACCUUCUGUGACAUGUGGGUAAGCAUCUAACCAGUUCAUGGCACAAUCCAUCCAUUUGUUCACCAGAUAUAUAAUUUAUUAUGUUGCUUAUGCAUUGUACACUGUAACUCCAUUAUUCCAGCAACUCAAAACCCCAUCCAAUCACUUGGUUCAUCUCACUGUUACAAUCUCUAGGGUGUGUUGUCCUUUGCAUCAGAUUCGAAUACUGUUCCUAUAGCACAGGAAAACUAUAAACACAAUAUAUAAUUGUAUCCAUUCACAUCCAGUAUACAGGAGGCCAGGGACACAGUGGAAUGACAUGGUCAAAUUGCUGAAGAAAUAACUACCAACCCAGAUUUCUAUCCACAACAAUAUAUAAUGAGAGUAAAGAAUUAAAUAUACAGACAAACCAGGAUAUUUUAAUAUUAGCUAUCUCAGUAAUGAUUUCAAGAAGGCAGGUAUAACAUUGGUGAGGUUCUAUUAGAUUCAUACACCAUAAUGGACAAAUCUGGACUGACAGAUACAUACAGAACAGCAGAUAUCAGUUGCCGAAUGUUUUCUUUUAGCACAAACUGAGUAUUUAAAAAACUGACAAUAUGUAGUAUCAGAAAAAAUCUUUAACUUUCAUAGAAUAAAAGAGAGAAUACAAUCAGUGUAGAGAUCAACAAAAGAUACCUCAAACUCCUGGCCUCAAGUGAUCCUCUUGCCUCAGCCUCCCAAAAUGUUGAGAUUACAGGCUUGAGCCAUCAUGCCCAGCCUAGAUACCUGAUUUCUUUUUAAUUAUGCUUGAAAUUCAAAUUACAAAAUACUAAGUAACCCAUGCAUAGAGGAAACAAAAAUUGAAGAUUAUUUUAUUUGUAAAAUAAUGACAAUACCAAUUUCAUAGGACUUUUUAUUAGUAGUAUCAUAGGCAGUCUUCUGACAAAUUAGGAAAAGUAGAUAGGGUCUGUCCUUAGAGUAGUGGCUUGGGCUGAUUACCUAACUUCUCUGCACCUCAGCACUGUCAUCAUUACAUUGAAGGGGUCCCUACGGUGCCUUAAAGUGCUCAAGCUCUAUUAUUCACCACACUAUUUUGUCAUUUUUAAAUUAUCAUAGGAUAUUCAACCUGAAGUUUUACUUUACCUGCCCACGUCAUCUCUACAUAUUCUCAUGAGAUGCAGUUCAUGAAUUCUAAAGCAGUAUCAUUUAAUGUAUUAUUUUAAAAAGAUAUUUAGAAAGGUAUAUUCAUUUCAAACAUCUUUAAGAAUAACAGUAUAUCCACUUAAUACCAAAAAGCAUCUCUACAGCAUUAUUUCAUUUAUAUCAAUUUUUAAAUCAGCCAAAAAUGCAAAGCUACUAUUAGUAAUAUACAUUUAAGGUGUCGAACUAUGAAGAAAGUAAAAUGAGUAAGGCAAAAUUCUGGAUGGCGGCAUCCUCUGAAGGUGGAGGAUGGAAUUGGCAAUCUGGCAGGCUCAUGCCGGGCAUGCUGAUUUUGUUCUAUUAUAUAAUCAAGGGGCAGGGUUGAGUGUAUUAGUUUAUUAUAUUUAUCAUGUUUUCCCAUUUUUUAUUCAUGUAUAAGUAAAGAUUAAGUGGACAAAUCUUAAUAGCCUGAAGACUGUCUACAUGUGUUUCCCAUGUAAUUCCUAGUAAUGCAAAGAGAGAGAACAUUCCCAAUAGCUUCUCAGGCACAAAUUUGCCCUCUCAGUUAAUACUGCAUAAAUGUGACCAUUAUCUUGUCUUUUAUCAUCAUGUAUGAUGUUUGGUUAUGAACUUAACAACAUAAUUCUACAGUAUUUCCUACUGUGUAUCUGGUAUGCCACUGCCACUCAAGGUUUCUUUGAGAGGGAGACUAUAUAUUUGUUACUAUUAUUAAUGAAUCUAUUUCCAUGACUGCUGUGAAAAACCCAGGCUGAGUUAACAGUGAUGAGCUCUGGCCAGGCACAGUGGCUCACGCCUGUAAUCCAACACUUUGGAAGGCUGAGGCAGGAGGAUCACUUGAGCCCAGGAGUUCAAGACCAGGCUGGGGAACAUAGGGAGACCUCAUCUCUAGAAACUCACAGGUGGCAUGCGCCUGUGGUCUCAGCUACUAGGGAGGUUGAGGCAGGAGGACUGCUUAGGCCAGGAGGAUAAGGCUACAGUGAGCUAUGACUGCACAACUGCACUCCAGCCUGGGGGAUAGAGCAAGACCCCAUCUCAAAAAAAAAAAAAAGAAAAAGCCUCAAGCAUGUCAGUUCAAAAAAAAUUUUUUUUUAAGUGAUGAGUUCUGGAGGUAAAUACACCCACUCUGGAUUUUCUGGUUACAAUCACUACCUUUUCUCUCAACCUCAGCUAGAAAUCCAGACUCAUGAGGCCUCAAUCCCUGACCUUUCAUUCCUUGCAAAUGCCAAAGCCAACUAUGUAGGAAACUUUUUCAGAGAAGAAAACUCUGUCCUCCCAGAAGAUAAAUUUUCCACUUUGCUCUACGAGGCAGAGAGCAACCUCAAACCACAAACAGGUUGGGACUUGAACAGGCCUGAACUCAAGUAUUCUUUCCUGGGAAAUUCAUCCAUCUUGUUGGAUAAAAGCAGCAGUUUUAAUCAGUGUGUUUUCAUCCAUUUACUUACUGUUUCACAGUUUACUUAAACAUCUUACAAAUGACUGUCAAUUGAACUAUUUACAGUUGUUAUUAUAAAAGUUUUUUUUUUUUUUUCUUGAGACAUAGCCUUCACUCUGUCGCCCAGGCUGGAGUGCAGUGGGGUGAUCUCGGCUCACUGCAAGCUCUGCCUCCCGGGUUCAUGCCAUUCUCCUGUCUCAGCCUCCCGAGUAGCUGGGACUACAGGCGCCUGCCACCACGUCUGGCUAAUUUUUUGUAUUUUUUUAGUAGCGACAGGGUUUCACCGUGUUAGCCAGAUGGUCUUGAUCUCCUAGCCUUGUGAUCCACCCGCCUCGGCCUCCCAAAGUGCUGGGAUUACCGCGCCCGGCCGAAAGUGUUUUAAAUCUUUGUAUACAUGUAUUUUGGUGUAAGAAAGCACUCAAUCCUAAUGAGUAUGCCCCAACAUGACUUGUUUGGUUAUAAAAUAUAAGUAUGUUUAAAUUUAAUGUGAAACCCUUAAGUAACAACAUAUAUAAACAUUAACUCAAACAGAUGUCAAAGCUUUGCAACACUGAGUUACACAAAGCCUAAUUAGGUAGACAAGGAUGGGAGGCUGAGGUGGGAGGAUCACUUGAGUUCAGGAGAUCAAGACCAGCCUGGGCAACGUAGUGAGACCCCCAUAUCUAUAAAACAACAACAACAAAAAUAGGAUAACAAAGAACACAAACAACCGAAAUAUUUUGGAUUACAUCAAAAUUUAAAACUAUUCUUCAGGAUACACUGCUAAGAUAACAAAAAGAAACCAAAUACAGAUAAAUGGUUUGCAAAACAUGUAUCUGACAAAUAACUAGCAUUCAGAAUAUUAAAAGAUACAAUGAAUUCUUAAAAUUCAAUGUUAAGAAGAAAAAACAAUUUAAAGUGGGACAAAAGAUUUGGACAGAUAGGGUCUGGUGCAGUGGCUCACGCCUGUAAUCCCAGCACUUUGGGAGGCUGAGGUGGGCGGAUCACCUGAGGUCAGGAGUUCAAGACCAGCCUGGCCAACAUGGUGAAACCCCAUCUCUACAAAAAAUAAAAAAAUUAGCUGGGCGUUGUGGUGGGGGCCUGUAAUCCCAGCUACUUGGGAGGCUGAGGCAGGAGAACUGCUUGAACCUGGGAGACGGAGGUUGUGGUGAGCUGAGAUCUCACCAUUGCACUCCAGCCUGGGCAACAAGAACGAAACUCCGUCUCAAGAAAAAAAAAAAAAAGAUUUGGAAAGAUAACUAAAGAUAUAUGAACAAUGAACAUAUGAAAAAAUGCUCAAUACCAGUAGUCAUUUCAGCAAUGAAAUUUAAAUCCACAAUGAGACACCUCUACACAUCUGUUAAAUUGAAAAACUUAAAGUGUAACAAAACCAAGUGCUCAAAAAGAUGUAGGACUGGAGCUCCCACAAAAUACUGGUGAGAAAUCAAAAUGGUACAGCCAUUUUGGAAAACAACUUGGCAGUUUCCUAUACAGGUAAAUAUACACAUAUCAUAUGACACAGCAAUUCUACUCCUAGUUAUUUACAGAAUACAAACGAAAAUGUUUCCAACCAAAUAUCUGUAGCAAGAGAGUGACUUCAGCAAGAAGGCAGAUUAGCAGUCCGUAAAUGCUGUUCUCCCCACCCCCACAGAGCCAAAAUAAAUAAGCAAAUACAUUUUAAUGCAAAUAACUAAAGGAAAGCACCAGAAUAUGUCAAAGUAAUAACAAAAACUCUGGUGAGCACAGAAACUCAGGAUAGCCAAGCAGAGAAUGGAACACCUGGUCUCCACAACCCCAUCCCCCAGCCAAGAUCAGCUGAAAACCAGAAGGAAUUUCUCCGUAUGUGGAAAAAGUGAGCAAUAGCAUACCAGCAGCGUACAUCACCACCUUGGACACCUACAGUACUCACCAC
rnacentral:lncRNA from 1 species